rnacentral:rRNA from 2 species
UCCGGUGGUCAUAGCGAGAGGGAAACGCCCGGUCACAUUCCGAACCCGGAAGCUAAGCCUCUCAGCGCCGAUGGUACUGCAAGGGGGACCUUGUGGGAGAGUAGGACGCCGCCGGACUCAACGU